GCCAGGCGUGGUGGCACGCACCUAUAAUCCCAGCUACUCAGGAGGCUGAGGUGGGAGGAUAGCUUGAGUCCAGGAGUUCUGGGCUGCAGUGCGCUAUGCCGAUCGGGUGUCUGCACUAAGUUUGGCGUCAAUAUGGUGACCUCCCGGGAGCGGGGGACCACCAGGUUGCCUAAGGAGGGGUGAACCGGCCCAGGUAGGAAAUGGAGCAGGUCAUGCUGCUGAGAAGCAGAGAAAGAAGAAGAGGAGGUACUGCAGUCCCAAUGCCCCUCCAGUGGCCUAAAUUUCUCCCACUUA
ensembl:misc_RNA Metazoa_SRP Metazoan signal recognition particle RNA